rnacentral:lncRNA from 1 species
AACCAAACCAAACAAAACAAAACAAAAAUGUAAGGAAACAAAAAAUAUUAGGCACCAUUGACAUGUACAUUUGAAAGAAGACAUACUCCAAGUGUUUUAAGAUUCUGUCUUUUCAAAAGGAAAAAAACAUUUAAUUACUUUUAAGUUUUCUUAAGUUUACUGGGAAAAUAAAUACAAAACAUUUCCAGAAACACAACUUCCAAACGUCCUCCUCCAAAUAAAAGAAGUGAAAUGUUGGCGUUGUGGGGAGGUGGAAUGAGUUCAGGCUACAAGAAGACCAGAAGAAUGCAAGCACAUCAUAUCUGGAUGCUGAAGCUGGUGAGGAGGCUACUGGGUUUUCAACUAGGAAAUAGAUGCUCAAAUACAAUCAUGGACGACAGCAUGCCUUCUUGUAUGUUCGCAAGGUCACCUGGUCUCUUCGUUUAUUAAAACCUAGAAAGAUUUGAUUCAAUUACCCAGGGCAGGAAGUGUAGAAAUUGAACACUUUUCUGAACACAGUAUGUCCAUAUUCUUGGGACUGGGGGCAGAGAGGCUUCCUGCAUCCUCACGGCGUCUUUGACUAUGCUUCAAGUUCAUUACUGUGCCCGGUUCUGUGUAUUUGUGUUCCUUCGGGUUGUCACUGCAGGGGCUACCCCACACCUAGAGAACAGGGCAGUGCUCUCAACAGUGUGAAAUCAAGCCUCUGAGCUACGCAGCAAACGUUUGACUAGAGAUUCCCACAGUCUCAACAGGGCGGCCCUCAGUCAUGUGCUGACUGGGGGUAGUUAUUCAGAAGGGCAUGCUAACCUCUAACCAUCAAAACAGCCACAAUUUUCCAUCCAAUGGGCACUACACCAUCUUCUCUGCUGCUUCCCGCUCAUCCUCCCCUGCCCAUGGACGCCCAGCAAUUUCUUCUCCCUCUCAGUCACACCCUUCUCUCCCCAUCCCCCCACCCCCAACGGCUCAACCAGUCACGUGCCUCAGUGCACGUUCUUCUAAACCACAGUUGAUAUAGAAAUUACUGAGUCAGCUAUUCACAUAUUUUUAACCCUGCUGUAUUUGAAAGAAACAUGAGAGAUUCCAGGAUUUGAACAGGCGUCUCAUGCAGAAAAACAGCAGCUGGAGGCAGGAAACUACCUGUUCAUCAAAUCAGUACAACAAUGUGUCUUUUCCAAGAUCUUCACCUGAAAUUACACGUAGCGCUGUCUCCAUCUCUUCAAGAAGCAGUUGUCACUGAUGUCUUUAUCUUAAAAAUAGCAACGAAUUUACAAAUAGAUUCUGUAAUUUAGAAUUGAAUUCUUUUUUAUCUUUUUUUUAAAGGUAUGAUUGGUACUGGGAGUAUAACCCCACGGUAGAGCACUUGCAUACACAUGCAAUGAGGUACAAACUCAGCCCAGCAAAAUAAAUAAAUAGAACUUUAAAAUACGUCUGCUCUGAAAAGGCUGUCCACAAGAUCACCCCUGUUAGAGUUUAAAAGGCAAAGGCCUUGUA